CAGCAAGUCACCUUGUAAUGGCUUCAGUCACUUUGUGUGUCUUCAAUGUCUGUGUUACCUAAGCUAAAACAACUACAUUCUUUUCAGUGGAUCCAGAUAGUGAAUGAUUUAUAAAACCUCUGAACCAGCUCCGGAUUAUGAAACCAACCCCAAAAUUUCAAAGGAAGGUAUACUAAACAUGGGAAAGAAUGGGAAAUAAUCUGAGAAGAUAAAACAGAGGAGAAAUAUGGGAAGAUAUUAAAAAAGUGACCAAGCAGGAAAAAAUCAAGAAAGAAACAACAUGAAGAAAUGGAAGAGAGAAGUGUAGAAAGACAAGAAAGUCGUGAGAAGAACUUGUGACUCCACUUGGGAUGCUGUUCAAGGUGAUGAGAGAAGUGCUGGAAAUACUCCAUAUACUGGAAAAGCAUGUCACAGAAAGCCCUGCGUUCAGCCUUGGGCUGAGGCUGAGCAGGCUCCACAGCUGUCACGCAGAAUCUCUCCCCGGGGAGACCCACAGGCUCGUGCUGCGCAGGGAGGUGCUGUGUACCACUGUCAGUGCGGGAGACGUGACGUGUUCGGAGAAAGAUGUAAAAGUACACCUGGGAGCAAAACAGGCAGGAGAUAAAGAACCGUUCUCCUUUCAGGACUGCUGAGAAGCUGCAAAGCUUACUUAUUUAUUUACUCACCCAUCUAUCUAUUUUUGUCAGGUUUCUUCUGUGUUUUGCAUUGUCCUGUCUCCCAAUAUGUAUUAUCAAGACGAUAAUCGUAAACUGACUUGUUUUUCCACAGGUACUGCCACAGUUUUUGUGACAGAGAUUCGUGCUAACUAACAGGCUACCAGUGCUUACACAAACAUGGUUUUGACAAUAGCUGCACAGACUCCCUGCUUGGGAGAGUCAUAUUUGGAUACCAGGACUGGCCAGCUUCAGUAAACUUAAGUACACCACUUCUGGAGGCAAUUUAGGAAACCCUCUUGUGUUUCAUAAAAAGCCAGGUACAGACUCUAUCCAUUCUUAAAAUUCUGUACAGCUUAAUUUGAUAGUGUGAACUGAAUAAAAAAACCCUGUUUUUUUUUCUUUAAUCUUUCCAUUUUGUAUCUAAUUAUAACAAUAAAUGAUGGUCUAAAAAUCUGUGAAACUAAGAUUAUUCAAAGUUGCACACUGAAGUUACGUUAAAUGUUAGCUAAAUUAGACCUUUUUUUAUCCUACCCCAUAAUUAAUUAAAAAUGUGGCUCAGAAAAAAUAUACAAUUGUUUACUCUGCCAGUACCUAAAGAUUUUAAUUGCACUGAACAGUGAAACAGAAUCUCAGUAUUCUCUCACAGCUAGACUGGUAGAUCUGAGUAUUGAUAUUAAACCUGAUCCCAUCAGACACAAUGCUGCCUUUGCUGUUAUCACAAUUGAUGUUCUGAUGUCAAGUGAUAGGCGUAAAAUAAUACUAAAACUACAGAAGCAAAAUUAGUAUGAUGUCAGAUUGCAAUUAGACCUAGUGAGUAUGAAUACGAUCUCUUCAAGUUCUAUAUUUCCAUGUUUUUAUAAGGAACAGAACCAAAUUUAUAGCUAGAGAGAGUAACACAAGGAGAGCCGCUGAAAUUUUUUCUCAUGUAUAAGGAUGCAUUAUAUGCCAUUGGAUACUUAAAUUUAUAAUUGCAAAAUUCUGCAAACCAUUAUUGUUUUGUUCAAAUGAAGGACUGUGUAUGUGAAAACCACAGUUGCAGUAAUACGAGAUUAUACCAUAGACUGAAAAAAAUAUUGUGCAGAAUAUGUAACUAUAUCUUCUUUUCCAUUUCCUGAGCAUACGGAGGAGGUAAUUUUGUAUCUGUGCCUAUAGACAUAUGUAGAUCCCUGUUACUAAGAAGGACGUAGCACGUAUAUACAUAUUAAGGACAGAUUUAUGAAUAUAAAAUAAACUAAAUAUUAAAUUUAAAACUAAAAUAGAAGUAAGUAUUCUAAAAAUUUUACUUGUAUUCCACAGCAAUGCAAUAAUGUUCUAACACACAAAAAAAUGCAACCUAGGGAAUACAUUGCAAAAUGCAAUCAUGUACCUCAUAGAAUCACAUAUUCUUUCUUUAGUGCUCCAGUGUAUCGACUCUUAUGCCAAAGUACUAUGUAAAAGACAUUGUAAAUACAUUUUGCAGUGUCAUGAACAAUACAAUUUCAUCACUGUAAAUCAUAAUGGAUUAAAACUCUAUGAAUGACCCAGAUUCAGAGCUGACACCAACUAAAGUACCUUCACUGAACUCAGUGGAGUUAAGCAGAUUAACUGAUGUCAGUAUCUGCCCCUGUGACUGAAAGCUGUGAAAAACAGUCUAUUGUAAUAUAAAACUGUUAUUUAUGAGAAACUCUCUGUGAAGAAUAGCAGGAUGCCAGCUUAGCUGAAUGGGGAAUCCCAGAGGUAAUACAAAAAGAAAAUGCAGAGAGGGCAGAAGCAGGGAGGGUCUGCCCAGAAGGAAUGUAGAUGGAUCACACAGGCACACAGGGAUGGAAUUAGGAAGACCAAACCUUGAUUUGUCUGGAUUUGGAACUGGUGAAGAAUGUUAAAGGCAAAACAACAGCUUAUCAUCAGCUGCAAAGGGAAGACCACAUGGGCCCAUAGCUAGAUGAUGGAGAUGACUUGCUUUCAAAGGUCACGGUCACAGAAAAAGAAAACGUAAUGCUCAUGAUCAGGAAGGACAAGAAGGAGAGUCCAGGAAACUGUUGGCUGCUUGUCUCAACUGAGUCCCUGGGAAAAUUGUGGUGCAAAUCCUUAUGAAGGCCAAUUUCAGGCACUUGCAGGACAGGAAGGUGACUUGGCCAGCAGGGCUUUACCUGGUGAUUGAGCCUGAUCACGAUUGCUUUUUAUGAUGAAGUAACUUGUUAAGCAGUGCGUGUCAGUUACUUUGACUCUAACAAGGCUUUCAGCACAGUAUCCUGGAGAAUCCUUGUAGCCAAACUGGGGAGAUAUCAACUGGAUGGGUGGACUACAAGGUGUGCGGAAAACUAGAUGAACUGCUGGGCUCAGAGAGUGGUGGUCAAUUGCCUGGCUCCUAACUGGUGGCCUUUCUCAGGGGUCAGUACUGAGGAUAAUGCUGUUUAAAACCUUCACAAAUGGCAGGAGCAGUCAUUAUGUUGAAAGGCAGAGCUGCUGCUCAAAGGGACCUUAGUGAGCUGGAGGAAUAAGUCAAAAGGAGCCUCAUGAGUUUCAGCAAAGACGUAUGCAAAGUCCUGCAUCUGGGAUGGAUCAGCGGAGACUAUGAAUUGAGUGGCUAUAUAGCAGCUUUCCCGAAAACAGCGUAGGUGGUUUGCAGACAAAUUUGCAGUGUCCUUGUAUCGAUAAAGGCUAAUUGCAUGUUGGACUGCAUCAGGACAAGCAUAACCAGAGGAAGGUAUCCCUUUCUGCUCAGAAUUCAUGAGGUUUCACCUGGAAUAUUGUGUUCCAUUUUGGGUCACCAAGUAAGAGAAGGAUUGACAAGCUGAAGAGUCCAGUGGAAGGCCACUUAGAUGUUUAGGAGACUGCUACAUAAUGGGAGGCUGAGAGAUCUAUGUUUUUUCUGACUAACAGAAGACCUAUUUGCAGUUUUCAUGCCUAAAGAGUUUUUAUAGAGAAGUAGAAGCCAAAACCUUCUCAGAGGCAAGAAGGCAAAAAACAUCUGUGACAGGUUGCAACAAUAAGAAUGCUGACUAGUUAUAGGGAAUAAAGAACAUACUAUGCACCUAUUUAAGAAAGGAAACAAGCUGCUCAGAGAGGUUGGGGAAUCUCCAUCCUUGGAGAUCUUCAAAAUCAAACUGUACCCAAACCACCUGAUCUAACUCAGAAGUUAGUCCUACUCUGAGCAGGGGCCUGGACUACAUGACAGACAGAGCUCCCUUCCAGUCUAAAUUUUUUGUGAUUUUCUAUGAUUUGGCAUUGCUCAUAUAAAACUCCUCUUUUGUUGUUGUUGUUUAAUUUAAAUAAUUAUAAUAAAGGCUUAUAAAUGAAAACAUCACCCCAUAGAA